UACGUAGGGGGGCUAGCGUUGUUCGGAUUUACUGGGCGUAAAGCGCACGUAGGCGGACUUUUAAGUCAGAGGUGAAAUCCCAGAGCUCAACUCUGGAACUGCCUUUGAUACUGGAAGUCUUGAGUAUGGUAGAGGUGAGUGGAAUUCCGAGUGUAGAGGUGAAAAUUCGUAGAUAUUCGGAGGAACACCAGUGGCGAAGGCGACUCACUGGACACGUAUUGACGCUGAGGUGCGAAAGCGUGGGGAGCAAACAGGG
rnacentral:rRNA from 1 species